GAUGAACGCUGGCGGCGUGCCUAAUACAUGCAAGUCGAGCGAACAGACGAGGAGCUUGCUCCUCUGACGUUAGCGGCGGACGGGUGAGUAACACGUGGAUAACCUACCUAUAAGACUGGGAUAACUUCGGGAAACCGGAGCUAAUACCGGAUAAUAUAUUGAACCGCAUGGUUCAAUAGUGAAAGACGGUUUUGCUGUCACUUAUAGAUGGAUCCGCGCCGCAUUAGCUAGUUGGUAAGGUAACGGCUUACCAAGGCGACGAUGCGUAGACGACCUGAGAGAGUGGUCGGCCACACUGGAACUGAGACGCCGUCCAGACUCCUACGGGAGGCAGCAGUAGGGAAUCGUACGCAGUGGGCGAGAGCCUGACGGAGCAACGCGGCGUGAGUGAUGAAGGUCUUCGGAUCGUAAUACUCUGUUAUUAGGGAAGAACAAAUGUGUAAGUAACUAUGCACGUCUUGACGGUACCUAAUCAGAAAGCCACGGCUAACUACGUG
rnacentral:rRNA from 1 species